GUCUUUGUAGUAUAACAAUUACCUUGGUCUUGUAAACCAAAAAUGGAGAAAGACGCCUCCCUAAGACU
rnacentral:tRNA from 3 species